rnacentral:rRNA from 1 species
AUUGAACGCUGGCGGAAUGCUUUACACAUGCAAGUCGAACGGUAGAGGGGGCAACCCCUUGAGAGUGGCGAACGGGUGAGUAAUAUAUCGGAACGUGCCCAGUCGUGGGGGAUAACGUAGCGAAAGUUACGCUAAUACCGCAUACGAUCUAUGGAUGAAAGCGGGGGACCGUAAGGCCUCGCGCGAUUGGAGCGGCCGAUAUCAGAUUAGGUAGUUGGUGGGGUAAAGGCUCACCAAGCCAACGAUCUGUAGCUGGUCUGAGAGGACGACCAGCCACACUGGAACUGAGACACGGUCCAGACUCCUACGGGAGGCAGCAGUGGGGAAUUUUGGACAAUGGACGCAAGUCUGAUCCAGCCAUUCCGCGUGCAGGACGAAGGCCUUCGGGUUGUAAACUGCUUUUGUACAGAACGAAAAGGUCUCUAUUAAUACUAGGGGCUCAUGACGGUACUGUAAGAUAAGCACCGGCUAACUACGUG